UACGUAGGGUGCAAGCGUUAAUCGGAAUUACUGGGCGUAAAGCGUGCGCAGGCGGCUUUGCAAGACAGAUGUGAAAGCCCCGGGCUCAACCUGGGAAUGGCAAUGGAUACUGGCAGGCUAGAGUGCGGUAGAGGGUAGUGGAAUUCCCGGUGUAGCGGUGAAAUGCGUAGAGAUCGGGAGGAACACCAGUGGCGAAGGCGGCUACCUGGACCAGCACUGACACUGAGGCACGAAAGCGUGGGGAGCAAACAGG
rnacentral:rRNA from 1 species